CAGACCGUGAGCAUGAUCCAAUCCUCAUCUCGAGAAUACCCUAUCCUCUAGGGUUAUAAUCAUCAUAUAGUCCAUAGGUUUCAUAUACACUAUGACUCACAUAUGUCACUCGUUCUUUUGUUUACUAUCAACUAGAUGCCACUCGUUCUUUACAAGUUUCCAAUGCAAUAGUCAAUACAUUACUAAAUUCCCAUCCACACUUAUCAUCUCAUUAUAGGGUUCCACAUCACAUAUAUAAACCUCA
rnacentral:lncRNA from 1 species